rnacentral:rRNA from 1 species
UCCCGCAACGAGCGCAACCCUUGUCUUUAGUUACCAUCAUUCAGUUGGGGACUCUAGAGAGACUGCCGGUGAUAAACCGGAGGAAGGUGGGGAUGACGUCAAAUCAUCAUGCCCCUUAUGGCCUGGGCUACAAACGUAAUACAAUGGCGUAUACAAAGGGAUGCGAAAGGGCGACCUGGAGCAAAACUCACAAAGCACGUCUCAGUUCAGAUUGGAGUCUGCAACUCGACUCCAUGAAGGCGGAAUCGCUAGUAAUCGCGGAUCAGCAUGCCGCGGUGAAUACGUUCUCGGGGUUU